rnacentral:rRNA from 1 species
UGAGUGCGAGCUUCUACGGAAGCGAAGUUGGUGACGUCAAGCUUCCAAGAAAAGCCCUAUACCCGUUAAGGCAUGAUUACCUGUACCCGAAACCGACACAGGUGGGGUGGUAGAGAAUACCGAGGGGCGCGAGGUAACUCUCUCUAAGGAACUCGGCAAAAUGACCCCGUAACUUCGGGAGAAGGGGUGCCAGCGCGAGCUGGUCGCAGUGAAUAGGCCCAGGCGACUGUUUACCAAAAACACAGGUCUCCGCUAAGUCGCAAGACGAUGUAUGGGGGCUGACGCCUGCCCAGUGCCGGAAGGUUAAAGAAGUUGGUCAGCGCAAGCGAAGCUAACGACUGAAGCCCCGGUGAACGGCGGCCGUAACCAUAACGGUCCUAAGGUAGCGAAAUUCCUUGUCGGGUAAGUUCCGACCCGCACGAAAGGCGUAACGAUCUGGGCGCUGUCUCGGAGAGAGGCUCGGCGAAAUAGAAUUGUCUGUGAAGAUGCGGACUACGUGCACCCGGACAGAAAGACCCUAUGAAGCUUACUGUAGCUUGGUAUUGUGCUCGGGCUCGCAAUGCGCAGGAUAGGUGGGAGGCUUUGAUCCAUUGCUUGUGGGUGAUGGUGAGCCACUGGUGAGAUACCACUCUUUGCGAGCUAGGGUUCUAACGGUUACCCGUCAUCCGGGAACCGGACAGUAUCUGGUGGGCAGUUUGACUGGGGCGGUCGCCUCCUAAAAGGUAACGGAGGCGCGCAAAGGUUUGCUCAGGCUGGUUGGAAAUCAGCCGACGAGUGUAAAAGCAGAAGCAAGCUUGACUGUGAGACCUACAAGUCGAACAGGGAGGAAACUCGGCUUUAGUGAUCCGACGGUUCUGAGUGGAAGGGCCGUCGCUCAACGGAUAAAAGUUACUCUAGGAUAACAGGCUGAUCUCCCCCAAGAGUUCACAUCGACGGGGAGGUUUGGCACCUCGAUGUCGGCUCAUCGCAACCUGGGGCUGAAGUCGGUCCCAAGGGUUGGGCUGUUCGCCCAUUAAAGCGGUACGCGAGCUGGGUUCAGAACGUCGUGAGACAGUUCGGUCCAUAUCCGGUGCAUGCGCAGGAAUAUUGAGAGGAUUUCUCCCUAGUACGAGAGGACCGGGAGGAACGCACCUCUGGUGUACCAGUUAUCGUGCAACGGUAAACGCUGGGUAGCCAUGUGCGGAGUGGAUAACCGCUGAAAGCAUCUAAGUGGGAAGCCCACCUCAAGAUGAGUAUUCCCAUGGCUUAAGCCAGUAAGGUUACGGGAAGAACACCCGUUGAUAGGCUCUAUGUGGAAGCGCAGUAAUGCGUGAAGCAGAGGAGUACUAAUAGACCGAGGGCUUGACCU